rnacentral:rRNA from 1 species
CGACCGGCGCACGGGUGAGUAACACGUAUCCAACCUGCCGAUAACUCGGGGAUAGCCUUUCGAAAGAAAGAUUAAUAUCCGAUAGCAUAUCAAGAUCGCAUGAUCUUGAUAUUAAAGAAUUUCGGUUAUCGAUGGGGAUGCGUUCCAUUAGUUAGUUGGCGGGGUAACGGCCCACCAAGACGACGAUGGAUAGGGGUUCUGAGAGGAAGGUCCCCCACAUUGGGACUGAGAUACGGCCCAGACUCCUACGGGAGGCAGCAG